rnacentral:lncRNA from 1 species
CAGAAUACCUGUAGGUGAUUAAGCAUGAAGGAACACAAAAGGGAAGCCUGAAUAAAUGAACCCAGAGAAUAUUCUGCAGAUUUCUGCAACUGUACCUGUGAUGGCCUCUCUAGUCUAUAGCCAGAGCUCCCACCCCAGAUCCUGCUACUUCCACUGUGGUCUGGGACAACAGCUUUAGCAUCACUUGAAAGCUAGUUAAAAAUCGAGAUUCUUGGGCCCAAUCCCAGACCUAAUGAAUGAUAAUCUGCAUUUUCCAGGUAGUUUGUAUGCACACUGAAGUCUGAGAAACUGCUCUCUAUGCCUUCCUUCACAAACAGGGUAGGGGAGGUGGGAUGGAAAAGGGAGACAGGCACCCCACCAAUGGAUAGAACUGCACAGUCUUGACAAGAUGCCAUGUAUUAAAACUUAAAUAUCAGCAAGUUAUGAAUCCAAGCCAUAAGAAAAGGCAGAGUAGUGAUCAUAUUAAAAAUACUAUACGUUUUUCAAAGACAAUAAUUUGAGGACCUCUGUCUUAAUCCACAGCUUCCUAAAGACCAAAAGCUUUCUUGCCUUGCUUACAUUGAUCAUGCUCCUUGCUUCUACCAACUCAGCAAGACUGUAAUGAGAGAAAUUCAUUCAAUUAAAAACCACACUUGGCAAAACUUUAAAAAAGAGACACUGUGCUAAAAGCAUUUUCUGAAUUUAUUUUUGUGUUUUUCAAGUCAAGACUAAACUAUCUAUGUUUUCAAGUCAAGGCUGAAUUAUAAAUGAACUUCUCAGUAUUUAGAUACCAGAAUAAAAAGAACAGUUUAAUACCAAAUAACCACCACACUUCU